rnacentral:lncRNA from 1 species
CACAUUCUUUGUUUAGACUCGCCGAGACUAACAGCGGAUCACUUCGCUAGAGGCUAAUCGUUGGUCUCGGCAGACAGACAGCAGUCCACCUAUACACGUCCAUGGAAAGAAAGGGGUGGAGAAGGUAUUACACCAGUUAGUUGUCUCCAGUCCGCCCAUGAACCUGUAAGUUAGGCUCAUGACCCUUUGUGCGUUGCGGCACUUUUAUUCCUGGGAGGUUAUAAACCAACAAUCAGGCAUUUCUCGUUCAACGACCUGUCCGACCACACCAAGCCUCUCUCCCACUCUCAAAACCAAAGUUGUACACCGAGCAGAAGACAACUUUCUCUGACUGUUAACCUAUCCGCCAAAAUCUGAGUUGUGCUCUAAUUUCGCCAAGAAAUGUGAGAGGUAGAGUUGCUCGCGGUCCUUACUACCUCGGAGGUAGCGUUAUUUGCGGUCGGUAGCUACGGCCUGUAGAGAGGAGACAGGGUGAUAAGCAAGGGUCGGGGUGUUGGGUGAGCACAGCACGGGUGCCAGGAGUUCACGGCGGUCGUGGCUGGUUGUUGGACACAAACGCAAGUCGCACGGAAAGCGAGAGGGAGACCUGAGUUGGAGUGGGAGACGGGAGUUGUUUACGUAACCACCCUGGCGGGUCGCCACUUUCUGGCUGCGAGGCACAGACAGCGAAAAGGACAACAGCUGCGUCACUUCCAGCCUCAGCUUAUCAGGCGUUUGAGCGCUGGCUGCGUGAUCAAAGGGAGUCAGGUGAAUGUUUUAAUCACACGUGUGGCCAUCUCGCCAUCAGGGGGCACGUGCUGACAGGAAGAUGAUCCGAUAGGAGGAUCUGCCAGCAGGUGAGAGAGAAGCCGAGUGCCGUCUCUGCGAGAGGUAGGAAUCCCUGGAGGGUAGACACCCCACGGACUCACUUCAUCGAGACUGUGUUACCCAGUGCUCAACCACAGGGUGUCGUGGUGUCACCUGCUGUGCGAGUGCAUGCCUUCCACUUCCUGAAGACAGAUGGUUAUCGCUCAAAACGUCACGCCUUGUCGUCUCAUGACGUAAGAAACCUGAUCCCCUCGGUGAACGAUCUCCCUUCGAUCCUGUCCUCAACUCGCCAGGCUAACCUUUCCAAGGCCUUGAACUUUCAACCUGUUGUUCGUGCGCAGCGUGCAUGACGUUC